UGGCCCUUGGCGCAAUUGGCAGCGCGGCGGAUUCCAAACCCGCAGGUUGCACGUUCGAGUCGUGCAGGGUCAGC
rnacentral:tRNA from 1 species